UACGUAGGGGGCUAGCGUUGUCCGGAAUCAUUGGGCGUAAAGAGCGCGUAGGCGGCCAGAUAAGUCCGGUGUGAAAGUCACAGGCUCAACCUGUGAAUGCCGCUGGAAACUGUCUGGCUAGAGUCCGGAAGGGGCGAGUGGAAUUCCUGGUGUAGCGGUGAAAUGCGCAGAUAUCAGGAGGAACACCAAUGGCGAAGGCAGCUCGCUGGGACGGUACUGACGCUGAGACGCGAAAGCGUGGGAGCGAACAGG
rnacentral:rRNA from 1 species